CUUGCUUCAACAGUGUUUGAACGG
rfam:Callithrix jacchus chromosome 14, whole genome shotgun sequence